AGGGGAGAGGAGAGGGUGGCUGAUGGUCUCUUUAUGAGGGGAGGAGAGAGGGUGGCUGAUGGUCUCUUUAUGAGGGGAGAGGAGAGGGUGGCUGAUGGUCUCUUUAUGAGGGGAGAGGAGAGGGUGGCUGAGGGGAGAGGAGAGGGUGGCUGAUGGUCUCUAUGAGGGGAGAGGAGAGGGUGGCUGAGGGUCUCUAUGAGGGGAGAGGAGAGAGUGGCUGAUGGUGUCUUUAUGUGGGUAGAGGAGAGGGUGGCUGAUGGUCUCUUUAUGU